AUCGCUUCUCGGCCUUUUUGGCUAAGAUCAAGUGUAGUAUCUGUUCUUAUCAGUUUAAUAUCUGAUACGUCCCCUACCCGGGGACUACAUAUUAAAUUGAUUUUUGGAUCACGGAGCUGGAGCCGGGGCUUGCUCUGUCCACUCCACGCAUCGGCCUGGUAUUGCAGUGUCUCCAGGAACGGUGUGCUUCCC
ensembl:snRNA U2 U2 spliceosomal RNA